GGGCUCCCGGACACAUGGGGAACUGCUGAGACUCAGACUGCACACAGCAGCACAACAGUGACAAAGCUGCCUUGGUUCUGCAACCAGGAGCACUAUCACAAUCCCAGCUCAGAGAUGAGAUGGGAGGUAAUAAGAUGCAGGUGGAGGCUUGAUAAGAGGGCACACCAUAAAUAGGGGCACAAGCAGCUUUAGUUCAGCUGUGUUAGGGCUAGCUCCUUGCCUCUGUUUGACUUUGCUCCUGGGAUCAGAGCAGGGCUUUGGAGAGUCCUACGCAGAGAUCAUCAUCCAAGGACAUGUUAUCGAAGGAUCUCCAUCUCCCAAAGUUUAAAACAACUCAAGAAAGGGCCCAGGAAGAAGUGAAAUCCUCUCCAGAAGGGUCAUUUGAAAGAGCGUGUUUCCAUAACACUGCAUUGUUACAGCAUCACAAGGAUUUG
rnacentral:lncRNA from 1 species